rnacentral:rRNA from 1 species
GACGAACGCUGGCGGCGUGCUUAACACAUGCAAGUCGAACGGAAAGGCCCUGCUUUUGUGGGGUGCUCGAGUGGCGAACGGGUGAGUAACACGUGAGUAACCUGCCCUUGACUUUGGGAUAACUUCAGGAAACUGGGGCUAAUACCGGAUAGGAGCUCCUGCUGCAUGGUGGGGGUUGGAAAGUUUCGGCGGUUGGGGAUGGACUCGCGGCUUAUCAGCUUGUUGGUGGGGUAGGGGCUUACCAAGGCUUUGACGGGUAGCCGGCCUGAGAGGGUGACCGGCCACAUUGGGACUGAGGUACGGCCCAGACUCCUACGGGCGGCAGCAGUGGGGAAUAGUGCACAAUGGGCCGAAGCCUGAUGCAGCAACGCCGCGUGCGGGAUGACGGCCUUCGGGUUGUAAACCGCUUUCGCCUGUGACGAAGCGUGAGUGACGGUAAUGGGUAAAGAAGCACCGGCUAACUACGU